GCUGACGUGGGCUUCAUCCCAUUUUGAACAGAAUUCCAAGUUUGUUUUACAUCUGUCAGAAAGGUGCAUGCUCAAGAGACGCAGGGGCUCUGCUUCACUCUGAGCCAUGAAAAAGGUUGUUGUCAGAAUUUGGCCUCUCAGCCUCUUAUAUUCCUAUGGAUCUGGGGCCAGCAAUGUGCAGUAAGAGCAGCUGACAGUAAUUCCAGCUUGUGGUAAGGUGUUCUUGGUAUUUUAACUAAAUCCUCUUGUUCUUUGAACAGGCAAGUUCCCACAUGCCACUUGGAACUUGUGCAUGGAAACCAGAUGUCUGUGCCCUGGACCUCUAUGACCAAAGGGAAGAGACAGUGAGGUCACUAAUGAAUUCCCACCAGGAUUCCAGAUGGAGUCAGCAUGUUUGAUCUGAACAGCGCAUCCAGGGAUCAUCAUUAGGCCAGCACGCUCUGCACUGAUGGAAUCUCCUCUUGCUGAUGUUGGCUGUGCUGGAAAGGCGCUUCCUGGCACUCUGCAAAGCUGACCCCGGGCUGUGCUCUGACAUCAAUGACCGGAUUGGCACGUUCCUUCUGCACAGCAUGGCAGUAUGUCCUGUGGAUGCAGAAGCAGCAGCGGAUUCAUGCAUCAAGACCUCAGUUUGGGCUUUGGCAGUGUCUCAGUUGACAGCAUAUAGUCAGUUCAGCAAAAAGAUGAGCCAUGUGGAUAGAGGAAGGACACCGAGCUGGCAGCAAAACCUGAUUGUACAAGCUAACCCUGUUGGGUGGAAACAGCUCCUGCUGGUGGGACGACUGGAGGCUCCCUGCUCCCCUGGGCGUGCUGCACCGGCUGCAGUGGGGUUGCAUUGCCAGAAUGCUGGAUUCAGAAGUGGGAGAAAAAGCAGAAGAGCUGCCAGGGGCUGCCCGGAUGUACGGUGCGGUGCGUGCACGGAGGAAACACGAGCCAUUGCACCGGCUGUUUGGCAGUUGAGGAGGACAUCAGGCCUCUGAAAUGUGAGUUAUACCCUUUCUCAAAACUGCAUGUAGCAAGAAAUGACUGGGAGGCCGGCGAUUCAUUCUGGGUUAAUAUAAAGGUACCAGAGGGGCUAAUAUAAGGGAAGAAAAUUGAUACUGGCUUCGCAGUGCUUGUGGUGCAAAAAUGCGUACGGAUGUUUCCCAGGGAAAGAGUGGAACAAUCCAAUGCGAUAUUAAAAACAAAAUAUACCCACCCAACAACAAGCAAACAUCCAUGGGGACAGAGGGGAUGGUAACAGCGUCCGGAUAUCUGUAAAUCAGUGCAGACUGCAGGUAUUUGCUUACCGCCGUACACGGCGUUGGAGCUGAAAGGAGAGAGCCCUUGUGAGAUGGCAGAAAUCGCAUGAGAAAGCGUUGUGUGAGUUGUAG